AUUAUCUGUCUUGCCACCCCAGAUGAUAUAGAUAGAUAUAUAUAUAUAUAUAUAUAUAUAUAUAUAUAUAUAAAAUAUAUGUAUUUAUAUAUGACUCAAUCAUCUGGGGUGGCAAGACAUAGCCA
rnacentral:miRNA from 1 species